rnacentral:rRNA from 1 species
UGGGGAAUUUUGGACAAUGGGGGAAACCCUGAUCCAGCCAUCCCGCGUGUGCGAUGAAGGCCUUCGGGUUGUAAAGCACUUUUGGCAGGAAAGAAACGUCAUGGGUUAAUACCCCGUGAAACUGACGGUACCUGCAGAAUAAGCACCGGCUAACUACGUGCCAGCAGCCGCGGUAAUACGUAGGGUGCAAGCGUUAAUCGGAAUUACUGGGCGUAAAGCGUGCGCAGGCGGUUCGGAAAGAAAGAUGUGAAAUCCCAGAGCUCAACUUUGGAACUGCAUUUUUAACUACCGGGCUAGAGUGUGUCAGAGGGAGGUGGAAUUCCGCGUGUAGCAGUGAAAUGCGUAGAUAUGCGGAGGAACACCGAUGGCGAAAGCAGCCUCCUGGGAUAACACUGAAGCUCAUGCACGAAAGCGUGGGGAGCAAACAGG